UGAGUGAAAGAGAACCUGAAACCGUGUGCCUACAAGCGGUAGGAGGGAGCCUUCGGGUUCCUGACUGCGUGCCUUUUGCAUUAUGAUCCGGCGAGUUACUCGUCACGUGCGAGGUUAAGCGUCUCGGACGCGGAGCCGAAGCGAAAGCGAGUCUGAACAGGGCGCGUAUAGUGCGUGGCGGUAGACCCGAAACCGAAGCGAUCUACCCAUGGCCAGGAUGAAGCCCGGGUAACACCGGGUGGAGGUCCGAACCCGUUGCUGUUGAAAAAGCUUGGGAUGAGCUGUGGGUAGGGGUGAAAGGCUAAUCAAGCUCGGAGAUAGCUGGUUCUCCCCGAAAACUAUUGAGGUAGUGCCUCAGGGCAUGUCUGGCGGAGGUAGAGCACUGAAAGGACGCGGGGCCCCACCGGGUUACCAACUCCUAUCAAACUCCGAAUGCCGCUCAAGAUGGACCCUGGGAGACAGUGCACGAGCGAUAAUGUCCGUGCGCGAGAGGGAAAGAACCCAGACCCUCGGCUAAGGCCCCGAAGUGCGGGCUCAGUGAGAAAGGAUGUGGAUGUGCACUGACAACUGGGAGGUUGGCUUAGAAGCAGCCAUUCCUUGAAAGAGUGCGUAAUAGCUCACCAGUCAAGUGCGUCUGCGCCGAUAAUGGUCGGGACUACAAGUCCGCCGCCGAAGCCAGGGAUUCUGUCUUAGGACAGGAUGGUAGGGGAGCGUUCCAGUAGCGGAGAAGCGGGGGUGGAAACCUUACCCGUGGAGCGGCUGGAAGAGAGGAUGCCGGAAUGAGUACGCGAUAACGGGGGUGAGAAUCCCCCGCACCGAAAGCCUAAGGGUUCCAGGGGCAGGCUCGUCCGCCCUGGGUUAGUCGGAUCCUAAGCCGAGGCCGAAGGGCGUAGGCGAUGGGAAUCGGGUGAAUAAUCCCGAACCACAGGACGUGCGUUACCACCCGCAGGGGGGACGCAGGAGUGAAGCCAUGGCCGGGCGGUGGUUGUCCCGGUGCAAGGAGGUAGGCGGUCCCGGGGGAUAAAAGACCCGGGUAGCCGAGAUCUGACGCCGACCGGUCUCCACGGAGGCUGGGAGUGUGGCGAAGCAGGCUGCCGAGAAAAGCCUCGGCGGGGAGUGCGUCAUGUGACCGUACCGUAAACCGACACAGGUAGGCGAGGCGAGAAGCCUCAGGUGCGCGAGUGAUCUGUGGAGAAGGAACUCGGCAAAAUGUCCCCGUAACUUCGGGAGAAGGGGAGCCUCCAGUACUUGACUGCCGCUUGCCGGCAGGAGGGGAGGGAGGCCGCAGAGAAUCGGCCCAAGCGACUGUUUAGCAAAAACACAGGUGUCUGCGAAGUCGCGCAAGACGACGUAUAGGCACUGACGCCUGCCCGGUGCCGGAAGGUUAAGAGGAGGGGUUAGCCUUUAGGGGCGAAGCUCUGAAUCGAAGCCCCGGUAAACGGCGGCCGUAACUAUAACGGUCCUAAGGUAGCGAAAUUCCUUGUCGGGUAAGUUCC
rnacentral:rRNA from 1 species